rnacentral:rRNA from 1 species
AGAGUUUGAUCCUGGCUCAGAAUUAACGCUGGCGCGCGCCUAACACAUGCAAGUCGAACGAGAAAGGGGAGCAAUCCCUGAGUACAGUGGCGUACGGGUGAGUAACACGUGGAUAAUCUACCUUCUGGUGAGGAAUAACCAUGGGAAACCGUGGCUAAUACCGCAUAAGCUCGAGAGAGGAAAGCAGCAAUGUGCCGGAA